GGGUGAGAGUCAGCUGUUUCUCUCCUUCUGUUGCUGAGAACAUAAAAGAAACAGAGAAGAAAAGAAGAAAGAAAAGAGAAGAGAAGGAAGGAUGGAAAAGAGAAAAAGAAAAGGAAGGGGGUUGCUGCCAGGAGGCUACGACCAUCCCCUAUAGCUACUGAUGGUGUUGUGGCUCUUGUUGCGGCAUACAUCCACAUGCUGCUGUGAUGCUGACCCAACCCAGGACCUGAAACUCUGGCUACACAAUUGAUGGUGGAUCCUUCUACACACCCAAAACCUACUGAGAAGAUAUUAAAAUUGGAGCUUUGGCAAGGUAGAGAUAGUCUGGACAUGCAGGUGUAAUUGAUGGACACUUGCCAGGACAGAUGAUAAAAGUAAUGUUGUACAGGAUGUAUUAUUGCAAAAUUGUUGUAAGGUUGUAAUUAUUCGUAUUACUUGUGAAUGGAUUAAUGGAUCUGUAAUUAUAACA